CCUUUUGCGGUCAAAAAACGUUUGACCGCAAAUGUGCUAUUAUUAUAUAAUGUGAUCCCCCCUUUUAUUCCGCUAGAGGGCGCGCUGAUAAUAUUAAAUCCCUAGUAAACUCGAAAAAAUGCUCAAAAGUUAAAAACAUUCCUGGCGAACAUUAUUUCAGCAGAAAGGACCGUGUAUUUUUUUUUAUCGAGAUAGUCAGGUCUAUUAUAUAAAGUUGUAUGAGCUCUUAGGAUGGUGGAAAUAACAGCGGUUUCCAGCUGUGUGUUUAGCUCGGGAAUAAACAGAAGGUCUGGCAGAAAAGUAAGGAGAACCAAGCAAGCCAAGCCUCUGCUCCAGAAACUACGCUGUGUUGUUGUGCAGGCAGACAGUCACUAAGAAGAGUUUUGGGAGCAGAAACUUCCAGAACAGAGACUAUCUCUACCAAGGCUUCUUUUCUGUUGUCUAGUUUACAAGAUCAAGCCAGGCAUAAUCAAGAGUGUUAACAGAAUUUCCACACCUACUGCUGGCCUGGUGAGUUCCUCUUGUUUUUUUUAUUACAUUUUUUAGGUGCAAUCAUAAUUACACAACCCGAACACACCUUGUUUCACCCAUAGGUGCUAUAAAAAUAUGUAACUGAACCAACUACAUUAAGACUAAUUAAAUAGAAAUUUAGAAAUUUCACAUAUUAUGGAUCACUAUUCAGAUUACAUGUGAAGAGCAAAAGGUUAACUUU